AUUGAACGCUGGCGGCAGGCUUAACACAUGCAAGUCGAGCGAGCGGCGGCCGGGUGAGUAACGUCUGGGAAAUUGCCUGAUGGGGGGGGAUAAAUACUGGAAACGGUAGCUAAUACCGCAUACCAUCAGAUGUGCCCAGAUGGGAUUAGCUAGUAGGUGGGGUAAUGGCUCACCUAGGCGACGAUCCCUAGCUGGUCUGAGAGGAUGACCAGCCACACUGGAACUGAGACACGGUCCAGACUCCUACGGGAGGGAGCAGUGGGGAAUAUUGCAAAAUGGGCGCAAGCCUGAUGCAGCCAUGCCGGGUGAGUGAAGAGGGCCUUGGGGUUGUAAAGCACGUUCAGCGAGGAGGCGUUACUCGCAGAGGAAGCAACGGCUAACUCCGUGCCAGCCGCCGCGGUAAUAC
rnacentral:rRNA from 1 species